AUAGAUCCGUAACUUCGGGAAAAGGAUUGGCUCUAAGGGUUGGGUACAUCGGGCCUUGGUAAGAAGCCUCGGGACCCAGCUGGGACUGCUUGGGGGGCAACCUCUAGGUGGAUCUGGCCAGGACCUGACGGUGGACGACCUUGGCUGCCUUUCGGGGCGUCCGGUGUACGCUUAACAACCAACUUAGAACUGGUACGG
rnacentral:rRNA from 1 species